rnacentral:other from 1 species
UCACCCCUGCUGUGUGCGUGAUUGGAAGAUGCGCUUUGACCCAACGCUUAUUCAAAGGGAGCCCGGACCGGCUUCGGUGUGCAAGUUCUGCAUGUACAGAAAAGCCUAAAGAAGUCGCACGGCGCCCACUUGCCUUUUAGGUUCAAAGGCCUGCCAACACGGCAUCUUGGUGGGGGUGAU